UGGGGAAUAUUGCACAAUGGGGGAAACCCUGAUGCAGCGACGCCGCGUGAGCGAAGAAGGUUUUCGAAUCGUAAAGCUCUGUCCUAUGAGAAGAUAAUGACGGUAUCAUAGGAGGAAGCCCCGGCUAAAUACGUGCCAGCAGCCGCGGUAAUACGUAUGGGGCGAGCGUUGUCCGGAAUUAUUGGGCGUAAAGGGUACGUAGGCGGUCUAUUAAGUCAGGUGUGAAAGCGUGAGGCUUAACCUCAUUAAGCACUUGAAACUGAUAGACUUGAGUGAAGGAGAGGAAAGUGGAAUUCCUAGUGUAGCGGUGAAAUGCGUAGAUAAUAGGAGGAAUACCGGUGGCGAAGGCGACUUUCUGGACUUUUACUGACGCUCAGGUACGAAAGCGUGGGGAGCAAACAGG
rnacentral:rRNA from 1 species